rnacentral:rRNA from 1 species
CUAAGAUUCCUUUAGUAGCGGCGAGCGAAACAGGAAAAGCCCAGCACUAAGCCCUCCGGUCGUUCUGGCUGGUAGGGGAUGCAGUGUAUGGAAAGUCUAUUAUCUUAUAUAACGAUAAUACGUUCAAGUCCAUCUUGAAUGGGGCUUUUUUACCCAUAGAGGGUGCCAGGCCCGUAGUAGCUAUUAUCAGUAUAAGAAGAUUUUUCCAAAGAGUCGUGUUGCUUGAUAGUGCAGCACUAAGUGGGUGGUAAACUCCAUCUAAGGCUAAAUAUAACCACGAGACCGAUAGCGAACAAGUACCGUGAGGGAAAGUUGAAAAG